AGGGAAGCAACAUCGCGAGGUGAAGCAAAUCCCCAAAAAGUGUCUCAGUUCAGAUUGUAGGCUGCAACUCGCCUACAUGAAGUCGGAAUUGCUAGUAAUCGCGGAUCAGCAUGCCGCGGUGAAUACGUUCCCGGGCCUUGUACACACCGCCCGUCACACCAUGAGAGCCGGUAACACCCGAAGUCAGUAGCCUAACCGCAAGGGGGGCGCUGCCGAAGGUGGGAUUGGUAAUUGGGGUGAAGUCGUAACAAGGUACC
rnacentral:rRNA from 1 species